rnacentral:lncRNA from 1 species
CAGAGCAGCUGCUUCGCAGAGGGCCAGGCAUCGCGAAGUGCGUCCUUUUCUGGGCAAGAGUUGUCACUCAUGAAUGCUGCAGGAGCCUGCAGGUGAAAAGAAUGCAACUAAUUAUGCCCACAUGUGUACCUCGGUUGUUGCCGAAGCACGAUGGAUAUUUGUCCUUUAGAAGUUGGAAUGCUGCACGGUAGCGUUCGUGUCGGCGAACUGUGCACGAGAACAGCUAUUGGUACUGCCCCAGCCUUGGUAGCCUGUGAGAAGCACAGUUGCCGUGUUGCCCUCUGUGUCGCAGGAAGAUGUUGAAUCAACAAAUAUGAUGUCCUGUGCUGACUCGAGCCUCUGGGCACGGUGCAUGAUGGGCGUCACAACCACCACCGCCCAGCAGUCGUUGGAAAUACUUGUUUUCAAAACACCUGUGCCUGCAUAUAUCCACAGUGAAAAGUGUUUGUUUUAGAACUGCUUCACCAGCCGCACUCCCAUUCUUUUUUGGCAGCGUGCAGAAGCACAUGCAAUAAGUACAAAUGGAACGCUAAGAAAUGACAAUUGUUUGGGUAGUUUACAACGCAACCAAAAGUACUGUGUUAUAAAUGCAAAUUUGACAUUAAAUCGUAGUUCAAGUUCAUUAUGCACGUUGGAUAUUGUAGUAACUGAACACUGCACAAAAAUAGAUGUGAAAAAGAAAGCAACCCCACAAGUGAUAAUUACAGUCAGACGAAGUACAGCACUAGCACCCUAGAAACAAAAGGGAAAAAAAAUGCUACAUCAACAGCAGCAACAGAAAAGUACAGCAUGCAGUAAUGUGCAGUAGCAAGAGCUUAUGUACUAGUCUGGCAAGGCACGUAAUUUUGUCUUAGUUAAUGUGUAUUGUACAAAAUACGUUGCAAAUGUACCAGUGUUUGAACAUGCUACUUGUGUGCUUGGUUAUGUAUACAGUGAACUAUACUUGUGAGCUGCAACCUAUGACAAUAAAGCCAAAGUUACUUGAGUAGAGCUACUGCACGUGUCACUGCAUCAGAGUAGUCAAUACAGCCUCGGCAUUACUUUGUUUUCACGAUGCAAGUACUAGGUUGAGUCUACAAAUUUGUACUGUGGUCAGCCGGCAAAUUUUCAGAUAUGCCGUACAUCAAAGCUGUGUGGUUUUAUUUUUAGUCUGUCUUCCUCAUAUGUGAUAUCUUCAGACAUGAUCACAAUGUCUGCAUUGCUCGAAAUUGACAUCUCAAAUGUGUCCCCUCAGGGAGAAAUUGAAAUGUCACCUGGUUUGUGCUCUGUGAAAGUGCAAGAAAAAAAAUCGCAUAAAGUGCGUGGAUACGUAAG